AACAAACGCUGGCGGCGUGCCUAAUACAUGCAAGUCGAACGGGGAAAGCUUUCGGGUGAGUACUAGUGGCGCACGGGUGAGUAACGCGUGGAUAAUCUGCCCUCGAAUGGGGAAUAACUAGUCGAAAGAUUAGCUAAUACCGCAUAAGACCACGACUACUGAGGUAGUUGGGGUCAAAGGAGCAAUUCGUUUGAGGAUGAGUCCGCGUAAGAUUAGCUAGUUGGUGAGGUAAUGGCUCACCAAGGCGAUGAUCUUUAACUGGUCUGAGAGGAGGAUCAGUUACACUGGAACUGAGACACGGUCCAGACUCCUACGGGAGGCAGCAGUAGGGAAUAUUGGACAAUGGGGGCAACCCUGAUCCAGCGACGCCGCGUGAGCGAUGAAGGCCUUCGGGUCGUAAAGCUCUGUUGUAAGGGAAAAAGUUCUGAUUGUACCUUACGAGAAAGGAUCGGCUAACUUCGUGCCAGCAGCCGCCGUAA
rnacentral:rRNA from 1 species